GUUGACCUCGGAUCAGGUAGGGAUACCCGCUGAACUUAAGCAUAUCAAUAGGCCGG
rnacentral:rRNA from 1 species